rnacentral:rRNA from 1 species
AGAGUUUGAUCCUGGCUCAGGAUGAACGCUAGCGGCAGGCUUAACACAUGCAAGUCGAGGGGUAUAAGUCUUCGGAUUUAGAGACCGGCGCACGGGUGCGUAACGCGUAUGCAAUCUACCUUUUACAGAGGGAUAGCCCAGAGAAAUUUGGAUUAAUACCUCAUAGUAUAUAGAGUUGGCAUCAACACUAUAUUAAAGUCACAACGGUAAAAGAUGAGCAUGCGUCCCAUUAGCUUGUUGGUAAGGUAACGGCUUACCAAGGCUACGAUGGGUAGGGGUCCUGAGAGGGAGAUCCCCCACACUGGUACUGAGACACGGACCAGACUCCUACGGGAGGCAGCAGUGAGGAAUAUUGGUCAAUGGACGCAAGUCUGAACCAGCCAUGCCGCGUGCAGGAUGACGGUCCUAUGGAUUGUAAACUGCUUUUGCACAGGAAGAAACAACUCUACGUGUAGAGUCUUGACGGUACUGUGAGAAUAAGGAUCGGCUAACUCCGUGCCAGCAGCCGCGGUAAUACGGAGGAUCCAAGCGUUAUCCGGAAUCAUUGGGUUUAAAGGGUCCGUAGGCGGUUUAGUAAGUCAGUGGUGAAAGCCCAUCGCUCAACGGUGGAACGGCCAUUGAUACUGCUAAACUUGAAUUAUUAGGAAGUAACUAGAAUAUGUAGUGUAGCGGUGAAAUGCUUAGAGAUUACAUGGAAUACCAAUUGCGAAGGCAGGUUACUACUAAUGGAUUGACGCUGAUGGACGAAAGCGUGGGUAGCGAACAGGAUUAGAUACCCUGGUAGUCCACGCCGUAAACGAUGGAUACUAGCUGUUGGAAGCAAUUUCAGUGGCUAAGCGAAAGUGAUAAGUAUCCCACCUGGGGAGUACGUUCGCAAGAAUGAAACUCAAAGGAAUUGACGGGGGCCCGCACAAGCGGUGGAGCAUGUGGUUUAAUUCGAUGAUACGCGAGGAACCUUACCAAGGCUUAAAUGUAGAUUGACCGGUUUGGAAACAGACUUUUCGCAAGACAAUUUACAAGGUGCUGCAUGGUUGUCGUCAGCUCGUGCCGUGAGGUGUCAGGUUAAGUCCUAUAACGAGCGCAACCCCUGUUGUUAGUUGCCAGCGAGUCAUGUCGGGAACUCUAACAAGACUGCCAGUGUAAACUGUGAGGAAGGUGGGGAUGACGUCAAAUCAUCACGGCCCUUACGCCUUGGGCUACACACGUGCUACAAUGGCCGGUACAGAGAGCAGCCACUGGGCGACCAGGAGCGAAUCUACAAAACCGGUCACAGUUCGGAUCGGAGUCUGCAGCUCGACUCCGUGAAGCUGGAAUCGCUAGUAAUCGGAUAUCAGCCAUGAUCCGGUGAAUACGUUCCCGGGCCUUGUACACACCGCCCGUCAAGCCAUGGAAGCUGGGGGUGCCUGAAGUCGGUGACCGCAAGGAGCUGCCUAGGGUAAAACUGGUAACUAGGGCUAAGUCGUAACAAGGUA